rnacentral:rRNA from 1 species
UACGGGGGGGGCAAGCGUUGUUCGGAAUUACUGGGCGUAAAGGGUCUGUAGGUGGCCAACUAAGUCAGACGUGAAAUCCCUCAGCUUAACUGGGGAACUGCGUCUGAUACUGGAUGGCUCGAGUGUGGGAGAGGAAUGCGGAAUUCCAGGUGUAGCGGUGAAAUGCGUAGAUAUCUGGAGGAACACCGGUGGCGAAGGCGGCAUUCUGGACCAUAACUGACACUGAGAGACGAAAGCCAGGGGAGCAAACGGG